AUAAACUCUGUUCUGAACAUAGCUUGGGCCUCUGCACGGACUCCCUGGGCCAGGCCUGGCCCUGCCAGCCUUCUCUGCUGAGGCUGGAGACCUGGGGUCCCCAGGAUGACCGAGUCAGGGUCCUGGCCUGGCCCCCAGCUGCUCCCCAGGGAAGCCUGGGUGCCCGCUCCUCAGAACUUCACCUAAGGAAGGUCUCUGCCUCCCUGAGGUAGAGCCAGCGACCUGUGGCAAUGAGCACACAACUGAGGAACCUGUCCUUGUGAGAGAGCAUCCUUGAAAAAGUGACGUUUAAGCCAACAUCCAAAUGAUAUGUCAUGAGGAGCAGACAAGAUAAAAGGCCAGUCCUCCCGCCCGGCUUCACGGAGCCUCCUCUCUGAGCCAGGCACACAGCAGGGAAGAAACAGACACCUCUGCCCUCUUGGAGCUUAUAAUCGGGAUAUUUCCCCCCAGACGCUUGGCAGCCUGAAACCACUUCAUUCCAGAGUGCAGCUUCCCUGGGCAGCCCCUCUGUGCCAGGCCCUGUGCUGGGAGCCGACGACGGACAGACCAGGCCCAAUCCGCACCGCUGAGAAGCCCGCCAGCAGAGAAGGAAUGUGUGGGCAACUGAUGCUGACCAAGAGCAGAAUGAAUUCGGAGUACAUAGAUCUCUUGUCCUUCCCCUCCUCCUUCCCCUUGUCCCCACUCCAGGGCACCCAGCUAGGCUCCUACCAGGAACUGCUCCAUAAAGCUUGUCCUCUGGAUCACUGACUCAGGGCCUUCUGUGGCAGCAGCAGUGCCCAGAAUUUGGUGGCUCCAAACCAAACACACCGAACAGUUCCAGCUUAGCCACACUGAAGGGUGGACAGUUCUCUGACAGUUGAGCGCCCACCUCAAGCACCUGCUGCCUGUCUUUCCACUUUCUUUCUAAAGCCAUCGGAGCCUGCUGGGCUCAUAAGCAAGGGUGGUCCAGGAGCACAGAGGGAUGAACUCCCCUCUGGGGCACCCCACCACCACCCAAUGGGGGAUGGGAGCCAGUGGGUAACCAUUCCAGCCUUCCAUCUCUUAGGCAAACAGUUCUGGAGGUCCCAGGGGAGUAGAGACCCCCCCCAACCCUGCCAACAUUGGCUUCUCUGCUAGUGCUCCUUUAUGUCAGUUUUUCUGCCUCCUCUCUCUCCCCCUCCCCCUCUCUCCCCACCCCCUCCCUGCUUCCUGAGACCCCCUCCCAGAUACACCACAGGCACCCAAGUCCUGGUUUCAAGUUUGCUUUCAAAGGAACUCAAGCUAAAGAAGCCUUUCCGACUCCCACUUCCAUGCUCCCGGACACACUCUCUCUGGCCUGCCAAGCCCCUCUAGGAUUGCUCCGGACAGAUAGAGCCUCAUGACAAAGGAGCAGAGCCCAGUCUCAGCGGGGGGAGUGCGGACAAUGGGCCCCCUCCCAGCAGCUGUCCCUGCCUCCUCUCCAGCCUGACCACAGAUAGUGAGGCUGGGGGCCCGAUGGACGCAGAGUGGGGCUCAGCUCCACCACCGCCAUCCAUGUGACCUUGGACGGGUCAGUUCACCUCCCCGAGCCCCGUCUUGCCUGUCUGUCGAGUAAAGGCAAUAACAGCGUGUUGAAGACCUGUGAGAACUGAGUGAGAUCGUGCGAAGCAGGAAGCACGAUCCGGGCGGAAAAACGUGAGCCACUGUUUGUACGAACUUGGCCUCCCUAAACAGACCCGAUUCCUUGAAGGGUUCUUCCUGGAUGGUUGGAAACAUCAGACAAUAUUUCCGGCUGGCUGUUCUCCUGGGAGGGCCACACACCAGCAGAGGGAGGUGGGGAGGCCAGUGUGCUGCCCUUCCCUGCCCGGACCUCCUAGUUACCACCAGCGCAAGGGGUAUUGGGCCGUCUGAUCUGCAGAGGCCCUUCUAGACUAAGGAUUCUCAGUCUGUGGGCCAAAGUUAGGCCGAAGCAGAGGUCACCCCUGGCGGACUUAUUGGCAUGACUGUCAGCAUCUCCCUUUGCCUCAGCCAGACCAGUUCAAUUUGACACUGGUCUGUGGGUCCUCAGCAGCCCUCCCCUACCAAGUCAGGGAUUCCCUUUCUCUCCAGGAAUGCCCCACAAGUCACCCUCACUCCAGGCCUUGCCUCCAGCUGUUCCCCCUCCUCGUAAUGCCUUUGCUCUUCAUCUCUGAGCAAACUACACAUCCUGGGAGGGCCAGCGGCAAACCCGCAUCGUCUCCAUUCGGUCAGCCUUCUGAGAGGGCAGAGGCUGUGCAGGGCCCUGCACUGGGAGCAGGUCAGGGGUGGGGUCUGCUCAGCGUGUGCCGCGAUCAGUACCCCGCCCACAGGUACCUUGCCCUCUGUGCUGGAGGGGCUUUCUUCCUGGCCUGUCGCAUCCCGCCCUGCUGUUUCCUAUUUGCCUCUCAGGAGAGCACAGUGUGGGCCUUAGGGGCAUGGGCUCAGCGGUAAGACCCCUUGGCUUGUGUGCAAGCUCCCCACCCGUAUUGAGAUGAUCAUGGGCAAGUUAGGGGAGCCUCCCUGCACCUCAGUGUCCUCAUCUGUAAAGUGGGCAUAGGAUAGUACCUACUCCAUAGAGUUCUCAUGAGCAGUAAAUAGAUAAUCUAUGUAAAGCGCCAAGCAUUGCCCCCAGCAUAUCAUAGGGGUUCAACGUUACCCAGGUGCAAUGUUCAAACAGUGCUGUUGUGAGGACCCCAGCCCCUCUCCCCACUGGCCCCUGGGCUUCCCAAGGGCAGGGCUUUGGAGGCACGUGAAGGUACAGAAUGUGUGGUUGAGGACCACAUCAUGAAUGUGUGUUUGAUUGUUUCAUCAAUCCCUUGAGCCCCAUGGACUCCCAGGGAAGCCUAAAGGGAAGGGACCAGGACAGGUCAGUGUUGAUGUAUGGAGUGUGGAGCUUGGGGCAUCCUGGAGGAGUUCCUGGGCAUUUGGGGUGCCUGGUAAGCCCUGGGGUGGGGGCUACUGCUAAGGGCGAAGCAGCUUUGGCCACACUGGCCUCAUUCAGCAUCAAGGAGACUGAGGGAAUGACAUCAAGUGACAGGUGGCCCUGUCUCCUCCACAGGCUCCAGAGCUUCUUGGGUCCUCAGCUGGAUCGGAACCCCAGGCCACUGCAUCUGCCUGACUGCAGACCUAGACUGGAGGUGGAGAAUUCGGGAUGCUGCCGGGGAGGAGGCCUGGCCAGGGAGAUCUGGGAACCACACUACAGGGGAGACUUUGACCUGGAGAAAGGGUACUCCUAAAACAGGGUGACCAACUCAUCACCAGUUGCCUGAGGCUCUCCGGGUUUUCGCUUGGCAAGAGCUAAAACCCGGGAAGUCCCUCCGUUUCAGACAAAGCGGGACAGUUGGUCAGCCCGCUUCCACGCUGCUCUGUGUCCACCCUCCCCGCUCCCUGACUAGUCGCCUGCGCCUCCUGGGCCUGCGCCUCCCUGGAAACCGCCAUAGUCUCCUGGGAGGGCCCCCAGAGACCUUCCACCCCAGAAAGCUCCCGCUCCGGGGCCCACUCCAAUAGAAGGCUCUAACUGGCCAGAUGGAGUCUGCCGCACUGUGCUGUCAGGACCCUCUACAGCCGUAAUGAGAGACUGACAAAUGGGACUUCUCAGCUCACCCUGCCCACAGGCAGGCCGAUGUGCAGGGCCCUGCCAACGACGGCAGGCUCGGGGCCCGAGGCCGAGCGGCUCUGCCGCGCCAUCCUCAGAUAACUGGCGGGAGCGCCCAGCCAGGCUCAGGCUGCCCUCCGGCCCCCUCCUCUGCUGGCUCAGUGCCCGGUCCAGCAGGGGCCGACCAUCAAUAAUUGGGUCACCCCCACUCCCAUCCCCACCAUCACACUUCCACCAGUGAUAGCAUUUCAGCUGCAAUUAAAAAUUUCAAGUUGCAAUUAAAAAUUAAUUGGAAA